rnacentral:rRNA from 2 species
GCGUAAAGCGCGCGCAGGCGGUUUCUUAAGUCUGAUGUGAAAGCCCACGGCUCAACCGUGGAGGGUCAUUGGAAACUGGGGAACUUGAGUGCAGAAGAGAAAAGCGGAAUUCCACGUGUAGCGGUGAAAUGCGUAGAGAUGUGGAGGAACACCAGUGGCGAAGGCGGCUUUUUGGUCUGUAACUGACGCUGAGGCGCGAAAGCGUGGGGAGCAAACAGGAUUAGAUACCCUGGUAGUCCACGCCGUAAACGAUGAGUGCUAAGUGUUAGAGGCUUUCCGCCCUUUAGUGCUGCACUUAACGCAUUAAGCACUCGGCUGGGGGAGUCCGGCCGCAAGACUGA